GUAGGUCUUCACCUUUAACACUACUCGAUGAGAAGCACGCGACAACCUCCUUGGUUCCAGCGUGUUGCAAACGUGGGAGAGGCAGUAAUUAACACAACCACCCACUCCUUUUCUUCUUUAAUUCUCUGUACCCUUCAUGUCCGUUAACUAAACGGUGAUAUGGGGAUCUUACCCCUUUCAAGCCAACAUCUCUUCCUUCCCAACGGGAGUUCAUCAAAAGUUUGGCAAAGUCCCACCAAACUGGACCGAGUUUACGCAGCCACUGUGUUCCUAGUACUGAUCAUAGCCCUCUAAUUGAAGCAAGAGAAAAUCUAUGGUAAAGGGCUCACCUUAAAGCAUCACUCGCACUCCACUGCAAAUUCCUCGGCAUUCUAGCUUCUCGCCAUUAGCAACUGUGACUGGCAAACGUACCCCCUAAGUCGGCUUCAGUUCAAGGUGUUCGGCCAGCCGUGAGUUUAAGAAGUUGUGGGUGCUUCCCGUGUCCAUCAACUUCAUGAUUAGAUGAUUGCCCAGCCUCCCUGGAACUCCCCCUGGUUCGUGGUGUAGGUGAACCCGUGAUGAUGUGUAGAGAGAUCCUUGGUUUGUCGAGUGCGUCUUCUUCCAAUUCAGUAUCGUUGUCCUCCUAUCCUUCCUCUUCUGUAUAUAUGCCUUCAAUCAAGAAUAGUUUGCGGCAACGAUGACCCGAAAAAAAUUUCUUGUCACAAUUAAAGCACAACCCGCGACUUCUUCUAUCUUGCAUCUCCUCUGACGUUAAUUUUCGAAUGGGGGGAUUUUUAGACUUGGUUAAGUUUGGCGAUGGCAAAGGUGGUAAGGAGUCGCCAUAAGUCUGUCAUCGAAAUUACGCUUUCGGGGGCUUCUUCCCGCCCCAGACUUUUGCUUCAAACAACCAUGCCAGUUCCAUUGCCUUAGUCAAAGAGGUGGGUUUUGCAUCUUGAACUUCUCUUAUGAUGUAUCCUUCAAUCCACUAACGAAACACCCCAGCUGGUGUUGGGUGGAUAGUUUUCCCACAUGACUAAAGAGCCGCUCAAAUUCCGCCUGAUAAUCCUUUACCGAACCUCCCUGCUUUAAUUUGUUUGCUGAUACUCGAAGAAUUGUUCCACACGACAAAUCCAGCUCGUGGGAUCUUCAUCGCCACCGAACCGAGGAAAAUUCAAUUUAGCAAGUUUGGGUGUUGCUGAAUUGGAUGAUCUGCAGUACUUCUUGCCCUUAUUUCUGGCGUUGGAAUUUUCUCCAGACCCGUUGUUGUCCCCGUUGGAGAUUAGGCUGUCUGAUUUGGAAUUUGUCUCUUUCAUCAUCUUCAUCAGGCUGCUAAAUUGCUCUUCUAGAUGAUUGAUGUAGUCGUUUUGUGUACAAAAAUAUCAAUAAUAAAAUUACCACUCACAAUAGUACGAAUCCUCA